ACGAAGCCUGUUCACGUUCGCCUACAGCUGGCCAGACGGACCUAUGUCCGCGCCUCCCCUGGGAAGCCGACAGUCGAGGGCGUGGUUACCGCCAAAGCUUUCAAACAACUCCCGCGGGAGAAGGAAAUACCGCGAGACUACCGCGAGUGCGUAGAGCGGCGAGAGCUGGAAGAAAUGAAUCCACCGCCUUCAACAUCGCGGUUUGGGCGCAUGCGCUGUCUUUUAAGCAUUUUUCCGAGGAGGGGACUUGGCGUUUUUAAGAGAAAGGGUCAUUGGCUCCCCCGGAAGAGAUAUCCGCCGGGAGUGCGAACCUUGUGGAGUCGACUAUUGGAGCAGAGCUGGUGGCGCUAGGCCUAAUCGGGUCUUGCCGCUGGGGGUGAGGCGAGGAAGAAGAAAGGAUCCUCCAUGGGAGGGAGCAUUGAGCCACCAGGGAGACCCCACAAAAGUACCUAAGGGCAAUAUUUUCAACAAUGGAGAACACAGAUUGGAAAAGGGUGUAGAGAUCAAGAUAAAUUGCCUUCCGAAUUUUUUUAAUGGAAUUAUUUCAGGUUAAGGCUACCUUUGCAGAUGGUCCAGCAACUAAGUCGCCAGUUUCCAAGGGCAUUUGCACCAUCUAUGGAAAACAUCGGAUCAUUGCACACCAGACAGAUCCUUGGCAACUCAUCCCACCAUCCCCCUGCACAAAAGUUACUGCACCAGCUGACAAAGAAGGCAACCACUGAGUUUCUUUUCAUUACUAAAUAGAUACAAUAUCUCUGCCAACAAAAAAGAAUACACAAAGUGUCUCUUCAUGAAAUCUCAACCAGUUGAGACCAUGCUAAGCAAAUCAGCUUAUCUAUAGGAUGACCUCUUCUUUUCUUCAGUAGCCAGGAUUUGAAGGAGAGACUCUGACCUGUGCCACUGGUAAGUGACUAACUUUUACACACUGAACUGGUGCUGAGAACUGCGCUGUCUUCUUUGUAAGUGAAGAAUAUACAACAUAACCUUGAAGAACUGUACAGUGUUGCAAGCCAGAGGCAUACUGUGUGUAUAACAGACUGAGAAACAAGUGAAUCUUACUGAAACAAUUCCUCGUCUUUUGCUUUAUUUGCCAGUGUCAGUGUUUUGCUGGCUUAGAUUGUUACCUUUUCCUGGUAUCUUUUUCC
rnacentral:lncRNA from 1 species